rnacentral:piRNA from 1 species
UGCUCUUCCUGUGCGUCCCCACU